rnacentral:lncRNA from 1 species
ACCUCAUUAAUCCUUAAUUACAAAGAGUUUUAACUCACAUUAAAUUUAAACAUCAAAAGGUAAAAAAAGGGUAAAAUACUAAGGAGUUCAUUACAACAAAAAUCAAUGUAGAAAUGAAAGAUACAAAGAGGAAAAUACGAGCUACAAUACUGUAGGCAACAAGAAUAAAUAGUAUAAGCAGUAGUACAACCUCCUUUAAGCUGUAAAUCUUCAAGAAUUAAUGUCAAUGGUUCCAAAAUGAAUUGAAGAUAAUGAUGAAUUGUAGUGAGAUACAAUGGAAUCUGAGAAUUAUUGUUGGUGGAGGCAAUGGAAAUUAGGUUAGCUGUAUUUGUCUUUUUUUUUUCAGACUUUUGUCCUUAUAUAGGACAAAUCUAGUACAUUCUCUUUCCUUGUUUUUUUAAUCUUUU